GUCCUGCCAAGGGCACAGCUGGGUAGCUAAGUAUGGAUCGGAUAAACGCUGAAAGCAUCUAAGUGUGAAGCCGUCCCCAAGAUGAGAUCUCUCACUCUUUAAGAGGUAAGACACCAUGUAGACGACAUGGUCGAUAGGCCAGAGGUGGAAGCGCCGCGAGGCGUGGAGCUGACUGGUACUAAUCAGUCGAGGGCUUGACCUA
rnacentral:rRNA from 1 species